UAUAUCCCGACAUGCCUCUCGGCUGGUUUGCCGUUGCCGUCGGACCGGCCAGUCUUUAUUCUAUGCUUUUCUCUUGUGGUGGUUGGCGUGUUGUAGCAGCGCUCGUUGUGGGGCAUCUUCGAGUCAAUCCAUUUCCAUCGUUUCAAGUAUGAAUCGUGUACCUGCGGCUGUUCAGGGUGCCGGUAACACGACACCACGUGUGCACCGGACAGCACGGCGGCCACGGCAUGUACGAACUGACCCUGCUGGUGUAAGCUGAACGCUGUGCUGUGAAGGCACCGGACAGCACGGCGGCCACGGCAUAUACGAACUGACCCUGCUGGUGUAAGCUGAACGCUGUGCUGUGAAGGGGCAACAACCUGCACUCUCACUGUAAGAGGACAAGGAGGAAGUAAAACAAGACAGGUGGACCUGAGGGCUGGUGGUUGUAGCAUCUGCCUCAUCUCAAUGGUUACCUCGAAAUGCCCGUGCAGUCUUGCAAUCACUGAGAAGGCUUUCCAGUGCCUUGGCUACUGUUAGUGGGCUUUCCAGUGCCUUGGCUACUGUUAGUGGGCUUUCCAGUGCCUUGGCUACUGUAGCGGGUGAGUAGCUGAUGAAUUGCAUAUUACCCCAGUCCUACUUUUCAUGCGGAUCAAUGUUUUUGACAUCUCAACUUGCUACUGGUGCUAUUGGUUUUAUUCUAGGCUUUCUGCAGGGCCUUGUCUGCUCUGGUGGGUGUGUCCUUUUCCUUUUUUUUUAUAUGCAGAAGUGAUUUUUUUUUUGUAAUGGCAACCUCUGCGUAUCAUACUGCAAAAGUUGUGUCAAUUACUUCUAGCUUACAAUUUUAACAUUUAAAACUAUUUUUAGUAGUUUACCACCAGCAAGAUCUUCCUAAGCCAGUUCUCGUGAGCCAGCUGGUAUGUUUUGUGUGAAGAUUGCUAGGUACUUCCCAUAGGUGCAAAAAUGGUUUUUGAUCAUUAUUCCUGCAGGUACAGCGGAUGAAAGCCACUGCAUCUUCACAAGACAGCUUUUGGAGAAAUAAAGUUUUCAUUCAGACUUUCUAUUGCCACUGCUCCUACUGGUUGCAAACCACUAAGUGCGAUAGGACGAGCUUGGCCAUGAUUUUAGUUUCAUUUAUGUGUCUUUAUAAGUUAUAAAUUGUAGCUUUAGUACCUGCCCGCAAAAAUAAAACCAGAAUUUUAAAUAUUGCUAAAUUUCGGCCGCAUUAUUAGGAAAACUAAGUUACAUGAACGAAAUUUUG